rnacentral:rRNA from 1 species
CCUACGGGCGGCAGCAGUGAGGAAUAUUGGUCAAUGGACGCAAGUCUGAACCAGCCAUGCCGCGUGCAGGAAGACGGCUCUAUGAGUUGUAAACUGCUUUUGUACGAGGGUAAACGCAGACACGUGUACCUGUCUGCAUGUACUGUAUGAAUAAGGAUCGGCUAACUCCGUGCCAGCAGCCGCGGUAAUACGGAGGAUUCAAGCGUUAUCCGGAUUUAUUGGGUUUAAAGGGUGCGUAGGCGGGCGGUUAAGUUAGUUGUGAAAGUUUGAGGCUCAACCUGGGAAUUGCAUUUGAUACUGUUCGGCUUGAGAGUAGUUGAGGUAGGCGGAAUGCGUGGUGUAGCGGUGAAAUGCUUAGAGAUCAUGAAGAACACCGAUUGCGAAGGCAGCUUACUAAACUAUUUCUGACGUUGAGGCACGAAAGCGUGGGGAGCAAACAGGAUUAGAUACCCGUGUAGUC